AGCUCGUUUCAUCACUAUCACUGUUUAAGUAGACCAUUUCUCAUCUUGUACUGACCUGAUGUGAUAAACAUUAUGAUAGUUAAAUAAUUCCGUCAUUUUUGAAGGGAUGGUAGGAGUAAUGAAUGAGUUUCUGGGGAUGAAGGUUUCAAAGUGGAGCUCUGUGUCUCCCCAGCAGAUAAGAUGUUGUGUAUUCUAUCAUACCGUCCUCCUCAUCGUGCUCAUAGCUUUGUCCGUCACUGAUGCCACUGGUUCAUCGGUGUCCUGUAGUUAUGAAACAUCCGGUCGAAGGAAAUGCAAAUUUUCAG